rnacentral:pre_miRNA from 1 species
UCUGUUGAAGGACCGUCGGUCUACCGAGCAAAUAUCAUCCGCUCGGUGGUAGAUCUUUCCUUUGUCGU